UGGGGAAUAUUGGACAAUGGGGGCAACCCUGAUCCAGCAAUGCCGCGUGUGUGAAGAAGGCCUGCGGGUUGUAAAGCACUUUCGGUGGGGAGGAGGAUUGAUUGGUUAAGAGCUGAUUAAUUGGACGUUACCCAAAGAAGAAGCACCGGCUAACUCCGUGCCAGCAGCCGCGGUAAUACGGAGGGUGCGAGCGUUAAUCGGAAUUACUGGGCGUAAAGGGUGCGUAGGUGGUUGAAUAAGUUAGGUGUAAAAUUCCUGGGCUUAACCUGGGGAUGCCAGCUAAGACUGUUUGACUAGAGUAUAGGAGAGGGUAGUGGAAUUUCCGGUGUAGCGGUGAAAUGCGUAGAGAUCGGAAGGAACACCAGUGGCGAAGGCGGCUACCUGGUCUAAUACUGACACUGAGGCACGAAAGCGUGGGGAGCAAACAGG
rnacentral:rRNA from 1 species